GGAUCUGAAGGCGAUGUGGCUGUGACAUCUGUCACCCCACUGAUCACCAGAGUUGAUUGGGCUGAUCUGGCUAGGCAGGUGUCCCCCUUCCUCCCUCACCACUCCCUGUGCUUCCCCUCCCAAAUAGAGACGGACCAGGCUUUGUUCAAGGGCAUAUGAGUAGUUGUGCUCCCCUGCUAGGACCUCCAAAUAAGCUCUCGAUCUCUGAGAGAACAAACCUACAAUGACAAACAUCACCACUGUAGUAACUCAGCAUCAUACUGAGUAGUUUCACUGU
ensembl:misc_RNA 7SK 7SK RNA